rnacentral:rRNA from 1 species
UCUGGUUGAUUCUGCCAGUAGUCAUAUGCUUGUCUCAAAGAUUAAGCCAUGCAAGUCUAAGUAUAAGCAUUUAUACAGCGAAACUGCGAACGGCUCAUUAUAUAAGUUAUCGUUUAUUUGAUAGCACCUUACUACUUGGGUAACCGUGGUAAUUCUAGAGCUAAUACAUGCUGAAAAUCCCGACUUCGGAAGGGAUGUGUUUAUUAGAUUCAAAGCCAACGCCCCCCGGGGCUCACUGGUGAUUCAUGAUAACCUCUCGAAUCGCACGGCCUUGCGCCGGCGAUGGUUCAUUCAAAUUUCUUCCCUAUCAACUUUCGAUGUUUGGGUAGUGGCCAAACAUGGUUGCAACGGGUAACGGAGGGUUAGGGCUCGACCCCGGAGAAGGAGCCUGAGAAACGGCUACUACAUCCAAGGAAGGCAGCAGGCGCGCAAAUUACCCAAUCCCGACACGGGGAGGUAGUGACAAUAAAUACCGAUAUAGGGCUCUUUUGGGUCUUAUAAUUGGAAUGAGUACAAUUUAAAUCCCUUAACGAGGAACAAUUGGAGGGCAAGUCUGGUGCCAGCAGCCGCGGUAAUUCCAGCUCCAAUAGCGUAUAUUAAAGUUGUUGUGGUUAAAAAGCCCGUAGUUGAACCUUGGGCCUGGCUGGCCGGUCCGCCUCACCGCGUGCACUGGUCCGGCCGGGCCUUUCCCCCCGCGGAACCCCAUGCCCUUCGCUGGGCGUGGCGGGGAAACGGGACGUUUACUUUGAAAAAAUUAGAGUGCUCCAGGCAGGCCUAUGCUCGAAUACAUUAGCAUGGAAUAAUGAAAUAGGACGCGCGGUUCUAUUUUGUUGGUUUCUAGGACCGCCGUAAUGAUUGAUAGGGACAGUCGGGGGCGUCAGUAUUCAACCGUCAGAGGUGAAAUUCUUGGACCGGUUGAAGACUAACUACUGCGAAAGCAUUCGCCAAGGAUGUUUUCAUUAAUCAGGGACGAAAGCUAGGGGAUCGAAGACGAUCAGAUACCGUGGGCCUGCCCGACCUUCGGGCGGCAUGGUGUGGUACCUUCACGAGGUUGGCCUGAAUGAG